rnacentral:rRNA from 1 species
AAUCUUGCGCAAUGGGCGAAAGCCUGACGCAGCCAUGCCGCGUGACUGAUGAAGGCCUUAGGAUUGUAAAAUUCUUUCACCGGGGACGAAAAUGACGGUACCUGGAGAAGAAGCCCCGGCUAUCUCCGUCCCAGCAGCCGCGGUAUUACGAAGGGGGCGAGCGUUACUCGGAAUUACUGGUCGUAAAGGGCGCGUAGGCGGACCUUUAAGUCAGGGGUGAAAUCCCAGAGCUCAACUCUGGAACUGCCUUUGAUACUGGGUGUCUUGAGUGUGAGAGGUAUGUGGAACUCCGAGUGUAGAGGUGAAAUUCGUAGAUAUUCGGAAGAACACCAGUGGCGAAGACGACAUACUGGCUCAUUACUGACGCUGAGGCGCGAAAGCGUGGGGAGCAAACAG